AUUGAACGCUGGCGGCAUGCCUUACACAUGCAAGUCGAACGGUAACAGGUCUUCGGAUGCUGACGAGUGGCGAACGGGUGAGUAAUACAUCGGAACGUGCCCGAUCGUGGGGGAUAACGAGGCGAAAGCUUUGCUAAUACCGCAUACGAUCUACGGAUGAAAGCGGGGGAUCUUCGGACCUCGCGCGGACGGAGCGGCCGAUGGCAGAUUAGGUAGUUGGUGGGAUAAAAGCUUACCAAGCCGACGAUCUGUAGCUGGUCUGAGAGGAUGAUCAGCCACACUGGGACUGAGACACGGCCCAGACUCCUACGGGAGGCAGCAGUGGGGAAUUUUGGACAAUGGGCGAAAGCCUGAUCCAGCCAUGCCGCGUGCAGGAUGAAGGCCUUCGGGUUGUAAACUGCUUUUGUACGGAACGAAAAGCCUCUUUCUAAUAAAGAGGGGUCAUGACGGUACCGUAAGAAUAAGCACCGGCUAACUACGG
rnacentral:rRNA from 1 species